rnacentral:rRNA from 1 species
UACGUAGGGGGCGAGCGUUGUCCGGAUUUAUUGGGCGUAAAGGGCGCGUAGGCGGCGCCUUGAGUCGUGCGUGAAAGGCCCUGGCUCAACUGGGGAUCGUCGUGCGAUACUGGGGCGCUGGAGGGCGGAAGAGGGAAGCGGAAUUCCCGGUGUAGUGGUGGAAUGCGUAGAUAUCGGGAGGAACACCAGUGGCGAAGGCGGCUUCCUGGUCCGUACCUGACGCUGAGGCGCGAAAGCGUGGGGAGCGAAC